CGCCCUGGUCGUGGCUCUGGUUGCGGAUGUGGCUGCUGUCUUUUGAAAUUCCUCUUCAACAUCAUCAUCACUGCUGUGGUUGUCAUUGGCCUUGCUGUUCUUAUCUUCUGGCUCAUAUUCCGCCCGAACAAGGUCAAGUUCCAUGUGACAGACGUCUCACUCACCGAAUUCAACCUCACUACCAACAACACUUUGCAUUACAACCUGGCUGUUAACAUGACAGUGCGUAACCCCAACAAGAGGAUUGGCAUAUACUAUGAUCGUAUCGAGGCUAGGGCUUACUACGAGGACCAAAGAUUAAAUACGCAAACUUUGACCCCGUUUUAUCAAGGACACAAGAAUACUAGUUUCUUGAAUCUCGUUUUCAGUGGGGAGCAAUUCGUUAUGCUUGGUGCUGACCAGACUUCCCAGUUUAAUGAAGAGACGACUAGUGGGAUUUACAGUAUUGAUGUGAAGUUGUACUUGAGGAUUAGGUUCAAGGUUGGCAGGGUCAAGACUGGCAGGUUCAAGCCUAAGAUUUCUUGUGACUUGAAGGUACCUUUGAGCUCUGCCAAUGGUGGCUUGGUUGGUGCCGCUGAAACCACCAGGUGUGAUUGGGACCUCUGAUCAGCAGAACGGCUCUGAUUCAUUUGUUGAUCGAGUCUUUGAUUCUAUUUUCAUAUUGGGAUUUACACUAUUUAUUCUUUUGUUUUUUCUUUUACCCAUUUUAUAUACAGCGGUCUUGGUUCUGAGAUGUACACUGGUUAUUAUGUCUGAUUGUUUAUCAUUUUGUUUCAUGGGUUACUUUUUGUCACAUUUAUGUGAAUAAAUAAUAAAUUUUAGUGGUUCUUUUAAUCUUCCGUCUUGAUAAUGAUUUUGAAUUGAUCUUUGUACGUUUCUCUUAAUCCGAUCUGAACUAAAAAAGUCCACGGCGUACGUAAUCAAAAUUCAAAAGCAAAUGGUAUUAGAAAAUAUACGGCGGCUUUCAAUUGAAAACAGUUGAUACGGUAGAAUCAACAUCAUGUCACAUGUGACAAUCUUGCCCCACCAAGAAAAGCACAUAAAAAUAUUUAAAUAAAUAACCGUUACAUAUUGCCCCACAAUUCUCUCGGGAACGUGUUGUCAAAAUUUCUCUUUAAGCUGAUUUUUAAAGCUCAAUGAAUGAAUAUUGGCAUGUGAUCAACCCUAUGAUUUCCAUAGACUCUAAUUAUAUAUAUAAUUUCAUAAAAAAUGUUGGUUUUUUUCCCUUGGUUUCAUAUAUAUUAUAAACUCACAUUCUUUUAUUAUUAAAAUUUUAUUCAAGGAAAAAAAUCAGAUCGAAAUUCUGUUUAAUAAGACUUAAUUAAAGGCAAGGUUGAUGUUUUACUAUUGUUUGUUUGCAUAUAUUAUAUAUAUAACCGAUGAAGCUCACAAGAAUUUGUAGGUUGGAAAUUUGAUUGGUUUUUUUUUUUUUAAAUUCUAAAUUAGGAGUUGGUAGCCUAAAUAAAAUAUUUAUAUAUAUAUACCGUUGAUUACUUGCUUAAAUAAAAUAAAUUUGCUUUCAAAGAAAAAAAAUAUCCAAAUCAAUAACUUGUCAAUUUGUCACCUAAUAUAUAUGCAGUAUUUUGAAUUCAAGUAACGAAAUAUUUGAUUCUUGUAAUUUUAUUUUUAAAGGAAAUAAGCUUGUCUCUUAUCUCAUCCAAUUUGAGAAAUUUAUCUUCGUCCCUUCUAGUGAGAUGCUUGGUUCUUUUUAGUUAGGUCCAUUGGGUUUUCAUUUUCUUUUAUGUUUUUGGCAAAUACAGUUUUUGAAUAUUUAAGAUCUUUAUUUUAUAUAUAUAUAUAUAUAUGAGAAAUUCGCCCACCGUAAGUGGAGUAGAGUUUUUAGAUUUCAUUCACAAAAAUUAUAGAAUGAUACGUAUUUCUUAAAAUAUAUUAAUUUUUUUAAAUAAUAAAAAAUAAAAUAUAUGAUAAUAGUUUAAUUUUAUUUAUGAAAUUAAAAUUUUUUUUAUUAGUAUAUAAAAAACAAACUACUCAUUUAUUAUGUCUUUGAGGUUUUAGUGCUAAGGUUAAGUCUAAAUGAGCUUUUUCCCGCCUUGGGUCAUUACCCAAUUUCCAUGAAGAUUACAAAAAUUUAUAUUUUGUAAAAUAAUUAAAAAUAUUUUUAAAUUUUACUUGAAUUUAAAUUUUUUGAAAAAUUUUAAGAAUUACAUUUCCUGUUUCUUAAUGAUCUUAGUCUAAGGCUAUCAUAACGAGGGAAAGAUUUAGAUAAAAUUUUUUAAAUAAAAUUCAAGAAGUUUUGAUUAAAAAUUAUUAAAUAAAAAUUAAAAUUGAUAAAUUAAAAAAUUUUAUUUAUAUAAAUCAAUUUUAUAAAAUCUAAAUAAUUUUAAUAAAUUUUUAAAUAAUCAUUUUAAUAAAAAAUUUUAACAAAAUAUUUCCUAUUAAAUAAAUUGAUUAAAUUUAAAUUGUAAUUAAUUUUUUAAUACUUUUUAUAUAUUAUUGAUUUUUAUACUAAAUUCUAUUGAUUCAUCUAUUUUAAAUUUUUUAUUAAAAUUUUAAUUAAAUCCUUUAUAUUAAGAACCUUUACCCUAAAAAACUUUAUCUUUAAGUUUAUUCCUCCCUAUGGAAGUAUCGUUACAACUAAAUGUAUAAUCAAUUGAGUUUAAACCGAUACAAUAUUAAAUUCAAGACUUGAAAUUUAAUUCAAACUCGAUUGAUUUUUUUUUUAGUUUGAGCUUGAUUUGAGAUAAAAAUCAAAUAAUUCGAGUUCACUCGAUUAAGCUCAAUUAACAUAUAAAAAUAAAUUCAAUUAUUUGUAUUUAACAUCGAAUUUGAUUUCAAAAUAUUUUAUUAAUUAAAAUAAUUAAAAUAUAUUAAAAUAUAAAAAUUUGAUUAAAUUUACGAAUUACUUAAAUUAUGUAUAAAAAUAUUUAAACUCAACUCAAUCACUAAGUCAAACUAUUAAAAUUCAAACUCAAUUCAAUAAUAAUUGAAUCAAAUUCAAAAUUUUUUCAAAUCGAAUUCAAAUAAUUUACGAUUACUAAUAUAUCAUUUACGUUCUCAAUUGCAACCCUCUCUUUUGCAAUUUGUCGUUCCCUUUUCCUUUGCAGCCCCAUACUAAUAUACCAUGGUUGAAAAUGUUCAGCUCGGCUUUCUUUACUUCCUUCACCUACAUUUCCUCUCCCCCACCCCCACUCCCACUUUCCCCCCAACCCCCCCAAAAAAGAAACCAUUAACCAAAAUAAAAUAAUUAUUAUACUUACUCACUACUCACUAGUAGCCGAUUUGUAAUAAUGUAGACAAAGAGUAAUUUAAAAUAAAUUAAUUACAUAAUUAAACUACUAUUUCAUGUUUACAAUUUUAAGCAGUAUUUUUACUACCCUUCAAUUCUUAAACUCACAAACCCCACUUUCCUAUCUGCCAAUACAUCGCUCUCCGGCGAGUUCACAUCAUCAUUUUCCGGUGACUGUAUCAAAAUCCCAACAUCAUAAGCAGGAGAAGGCGAAGGAGUAAAGUAAGGAGGCGAUGCACACGGCGUCUCUUUCUCCACGUCAUCAGCCAUGUUGACCACCCUACCCGAGAAACAGUCCCUCAAACAAACCCUUCUCUGAUCAGCAGGAUUCUCGACGCUGUCAGCUCCUUCUCUUUCCUCUUCUUUUAUCGUAUACAAAAUCCUAGACUGUCCGUACAACGCCUGCCACUUCGCCCACUCGUCAUCAUCCUCCACCGCGGCUGCCUCCGAAUCAGCUGCCGUCGCAGCCUCCGUUGGCAUCGGAGACACGACCCCAGAGGAGGGUUCCACACGGGCAGGUCGGUUUUUCCAGCAGAAGAAAUAGAGAAGUUCCUUCGAGGGAGCAGCGAAAAAAGAUGAAUCCAAAAACUCAGAAUCAACGGAGCAAGUGCCUCCUCUGACGACUCUGCGUUGACAGAACCUUCGUUUUCUCCAACGGACAUAAACCAUCUGUACAAUAAGAGCUAAAAGGCAUGUUGCGAAGAUAACGAUGAGGGAUAUGGCAAGCUUGGCAGGAGCACUCAUGGCGAGUUUUUCUUCUUUGAUAUUAUUCACUGUUUUAUCUGAUGUUAAAAAAAAUGAAGAGUCAACUGAGGAUUUGUAGAGAAAGAAAAGGAGAGGAUUUUUUUUCUUAGAGAGGAAAAUGAUGGAGCUUUUUCUCGGAAAAUGUAUGGGGAGAAGUGAGGAAAAAAGUGUUAAAGAGUUGAUGAGGACGAGGAAGUAGAGGAAGGAGUGACGUGGAAUUUAUUAUUAUUAUUAUUUUAAGAUUUUGAAUUAAUUGGGCGGAUUAGAAUUUACUUUCUUGUUUACCAAAGGCAAAACUAUAGUCUAUUAAAUUAUCAUUGUUUAUUAUAUAAAAAAAAGUACCAUAGUUUCUUAUGGAAUUUGUAUAAUGUAGGUUGGACUAGAUUGUAUUUUUAUGAUAAUUAAUAUUAUUGAAUAUUUAAAAAUAUAAUGAAUAAAAAUUCUGAAAACAAGUAAAUCAUUUUUUAUGAAAAUGAUUUAAUAAAAUUAUAAUUUUUGUUCAUUCUUUAAAUAAGUCUUAUUAUUAUUAUUAUUAUUAUUUGUCUAAAUAAAAUUAAUAAAAAAAUCAAUGUAAGCUUUAAUUUUUUUAUUUAUCAAAUACUUUUUAAGGCUAGUGAAAAAUUAAAACUUUGAAGAUAAAAUAAUUUAGUAUAAAUUUUAUUUUAUUUUUAUGUAUUAUCAAAUAAAUCAAUUUAAUGUAAUCCUUUCACUUAAACUAAAAUUCUUACUUAUAAAUUGAAUAAAUCUUAUUAAAAAUAAAAACUAUUUGCAAUGGUAAUUUGGAAAUAUAGUGAACCAUAAUGACUAUUUUAUUCCAUUUAAAAAUUUCUUCAAAUAUAUAGAUAAGUAAAAAUUAUAAUCAAUAAUAAAUUAAAAUGUUUUUUAUUUUAAAUAAUAGUUUAAAAUGUCAAUUUAGAAAUAUAUAUCCUAAUAUUUUUGUACGUAACUAUUUUAGAAUAAUAAUUUUAUAUUGAAUAUAGAGUUACAUAUUAUACAAAUGACUAAACCUAAUAAUGUGAAUAUUAACUGAAAAUUGCAGUGUCAUGUCAAGCUAAUCCUAUUUGCAAGGCAUACGAAAUUAACGUGAAACAUAUUACUUUUAACAUUAAUUUGAAAUUAAAAUUCUAAAGAUAAAAUAAUUUAAUGUAAACUUUAACUCUUUUUUAUUUAUCAAAUAAUUUAAUAACUUAAAUGAAAUUAAGUCGUUCAAUAAAAUUAAAAUUCUUAUUUAUAAUUGCACUUAUUAACCAACAUAAUCUAAACUUUUACCAAAUGUUUAAUUCAAUGAAGCAUCUGAUGAAAAUAGUCAAGGAUUCAUCAUAUAAAAUACUCAUAUAUUCAACCAUUGUAAAUGAAAAUAGCCAAAAACUCAUCAACAAUUAAGCUAAAUGGGAGAUGAGGAAUGAUUGACCCAAAAAGAAAGUAAAGGGUCCGAGUCAAGCAGGUGAGCUGAUCACAUGAACCGGGCUCGUUCCCGUGAAUUGUCUUGUAUGCAUACUUUUGCAAAAAGGGCUUGUGGUUGGGAUGAACAUCAACCUGGGCCUUUGUAUUUUUAUGGUGCCUAGUACUGUUUGGAUUAUGUUCACUUUCGUCGUAGUGUUUGGUUCAAAAAAAUAUCGAUGUUCUUUAUUUUUAUUUUCAUAGAAAAUAGAAAAUAUACUGGAAAACAUGUUUGAUUCAAAAUAUAAAAAAUAAUUUUUAAAAAAUGAAAAUAAAAAUGGGCCAAAAUUAGAGAACAAUCAAUAUAUAUAUAUAUGUAUGUAUGUAUGUAUGUAUGUAUGUAUGUAUGUAUGUAUGUAUGUAUGUUUUGAGCAAUUUCAAGGAAAACAUGAAGAACAAUUGAGAAAUGAGAAAAACACGGGUUUUAUAAACAUUUUUUAAGUGUUCAAAGCACACUCACUAAACACCCAAGAUCGAAUCAUAAUAGACGCAAAAAUUCACUACAAACAUUUUAGUGGGAAACUUGUUCAAAGUUUCUAAUGUCCCUUUAAACAAAAGUUCAAGAAGCAUGAACUCUCUGUUGGAGGGUUUCGCCACAAUAGAACUUCUUAAGGUGCUCGUGCCUCAGCUUUGACUCCUUGACAGAACUUCAAUUACUGGAAGUUUGUAAACUAAAGCAAUCAUGUCAGCGAGCUGAAGAUGUGCUUUCGCAAGUAUGAAGAAACUCCAGGAAACUGUGUCUGCGACUAUAGUAGUAGGUCAAUUCGGCGAAGGUAGUUUCAUUCCUCAUGUGGCUACGGCAAUGGAAAAGUAAGAACCUCCAGUCAGCUUUGUGAACCAGGCGAACCACGCUCAGCAGGAAACACUACAUCAGAUGUCUGAUAAAAUUUGAAUGUUUUUCUUGGUGCUAAUUGGUUUAAUUUUUUAUGCUUUAUUUAAUUUCUUAUUUUAAUUAUUUAGUUAUUAUUUUUAUUUUUUAAAAAAUACAAAUACCAAACAUAUUUUCAUAAUUUUUCAUUUUCGAGUACCAAAUAUAUUUUUUAAAAUUAAAAAAUUACAAAAUAAAAAUUGUUUUCAGAAAAAAAAAAAUGAAAACAAAAAAUAUUUUCUACAGUCAAACACAACAAUCGUCCUAACCUUUAAGGCCAUAUGAACCACAAAAUAAUUUUAAUGUAAAUCAAUUCUCUCCUUCUAUAAUUGAGCUUUCUAUAAAUUUUUAUAUUCAGAACAAUUCAGAUUUAAUCCAAUACUUUUUUUAGUGCAAAGAAAGCGAAAGCUUGAAAAUAAAAAAAGAAAUUACAGAUAUUGUGUUUGAGGUUAAUAUUCUCCUGCUCCCAAUGUCUUAUUCAAUUUGAGUGUAUAUAUAUAUAUAUAUAUAUAAAAGAAAGAAAAAGAAAGAAUUUGGGUUGGAAUUGGAAGGUAUUUUUUAUCAUUAGAUUUGAUGUGUAAACUUUUGAGGCCCAAUGAUGCUGCCUAUCAUGGAUUGGGCUUUAAUUUUUAGAGCUAGACCAGCUGGACUGCAAUCUGCAAAUGGACUGUGAAUGGUGAAACCAUUAUACAGAUGAAAAUUGGUAAUUAGAUUCCUUCACUUGACACUUUCAUGCCACAUUGCUACAUGAAACAUGCACCAGUUCUUGAAAAUUAUUGUUGAAAUUUUACAUGGAUGGUUCAUUCAGUAAGUUUAGUAUAAAACACAAAGUGAAAGUGGUACAGCUCAAGAUCCUCUCUCUCACACUUCCAAAAAUGCUUUAGGAAAACAAUCCAACAAAAGCAGCAUCCUCCAUUUUUUUUUUUUUUGCCAUUCUCUGAAAUCUGAUCAUCACACACAUUCGGGUGAUGAACACCUUACACCCUGAACUAUAAACAAAGCAAAACGAUAACAGAAAACAGCAGCACAUGAAGUACUCCUUAGAUCCCUCACUCUCAUCACUUUCAAAUGUAAAAAAAAAAAAAGCACCAUAUAAAAGCAACAGCUCUCCCCAAAAUGAGAGAAAAAAGUAAUGAACACAAAUAACCGGGAAAUGGGGAUGGCAUGGAGAGGGCAUAUACAUAGAUAUAUAUAUAUAUAUAUAUAUAGAGAGAGAGAGAGAGAGAGAGAUGGUUAGGAUCCUAGAUUUCCCUUACUUUAGGAACCAUAUCUAUAGAUGAGGAGGGAAGGGAAAUGGGGACAGUGACCCUUAUGGAAAGAUCCAUUUGUUAGCUCCCCUUUUCUUAGAGUCUGCAAAAGGGGGUUAAGAUGCGUGGAAACUUUGUCUCGAUGCUUAUGUUGUCUUUUGUAGAUGCCAACAAUCAACAGUCUUUUUUUUUUUUUUGGGGGGGGGGGGGGUGUGGGUUCUUCAGACUGGGAGGGUUCAGAUCUCCUGUUGUCUAGUUUGUUCAAAAAACCUGGAAUUCAGUGCAAAUUACUGCAAUCCCCAUUGUUUCAAUCUUGUCUGCUGGAAAAUGCUUUUCAAAGUACUGAAAAAUUCAUUAAAAAGGGAUCUGAAACAAAAAAUGCAAAAAAAGUUUUAAUUUUCUCACAUUCGUUUGAGGCAAUCAAAUUCCAAAAGAAAGAACCAAAAACAUUUCUUUCCAUUUACUUUGUUUUUGAAUUAAAAGUUGGUUUCUAUUCCCAAGCUAUGUAUAUUUGUGAUUAGGCUUUAAUCGUGGACUCUUUCUAUUCCAUUUACUAGCUUACUACCUGUACGAGGCACCAAUUAUUUUUAUUUUAUUUAAAUUUAAAUAAAAAUAUAAAUUAAUAUUAUUGAAUUAUUUAUAUAUUCAAAAUAUAUGUAACAUAUAAAUAAUAUUAUUUAAAUAUCAAAUCAUAAUAAAAAUAAGAUUUUCUUUUUAAAUUAUACUGAAAAUUAUAAAAAUUCUCUGUUUCAUAAUUACAAAAUUAUCAUAUGACUCAUAUCUUCUUUUUCAUAAAUCUUGGUGAAAUCUUUUAUAAUUCUUAAGUUUUUUUAAGUUAAGAUAUAAAUAAACUUAAAAUUAAUAUUACUGAUAAAAUUAUCUCUAAAUUAUUUCUUUUCAAUUUUUUUUAUGAAAAAUAAUCUCUUGAUUUGAAAUUGUGUUACAUGUUUCACAAUAGGGAUAUGAGUUGAGAAAUUAUUCACUAUUUAAAUAUACAACGGGCAAAUAAGCUUUUGUUUAAAGCACAUAAUUUUAUUAUAUCAAUUAAUCAGAGUAUCAUUUUUAUUUUAUAUGAAUGGAGAAUAUUUAAUAAAUAAUUAGUUAAAAAGCAAAAUAUAUUAUCGGAUUGAGUGAAAAAUCUAUGAAAAAAUAAAAAGUUUGCAGACCACAACGACAAAAAUAUAAAAAUAUGUGUUUUUUUAGUUUUGUAGUUUUUAAAAAAAUUAUUAUAGCUAAAAAAAUAUUACAACUGAUUUGAAAAAAAAAAUCUUAUCUAGUGAAUAGUAUGUUUAGUGAAAUAGUACUUAUAAUAAAAAAAAGUAUGUUAGUUCCUAUAGUAAGAAUAGACUAAUAAAAAAAUAGACUAAAUUAAUAGUAGGAAAAAAUACAUUUAUUUUAGAAGGACAUUGAGAAAACCAUAUAACUAAAAACUGCUAAUAAUGAGGGCUUUCUUAAAAUUGUUUUAGUAUAUAUAUAUAUAUAUAUAUUUUCACAUUUCAUUUAUGAAAUAUAUUUAAAAAUUGAAGAUAAUAAAAUAUUAUUUAUAAAAAAUAUUAAAAAUAUUAAAUAAUAUUUUUAAAAGUUGUGAUAAAUUUAAAUAUUAUGUUGACUACAGAUAAAUUAAAAAAGAUAAAUUAUUUUAAAAUUGAUUUUAAAUUGAGAUGAAAUGAUGUAUAAGAGAAACUUAAUGUACAGGAAAAACUUUUCUGAAAUUGUUUUGCUAUUUAUACUUUUUUUCACAUUUUCUUUGUGAAAUAUAUUUAAACACUGAAAACAAUACAAAUAUUAUUUAUAAAAGAUGUUAAAUAAUAGUUUUAAAAGUUGUGAUAAAUUUAGACACUCAUGUUGACAACAAAUAAAUUAAAAAAGAUAAAUUAUUUUAAAAUUAAGAUGCAAUGAUAUAUAAGAGAAACUUUCAUGCAAUUGUUAAGAUAUUUAUAUUUUUUUCACAUUUCUUUUGUGAAAUAUAUUUAAAAACUAAAAAUAAUAUAAAGAUUAUUUAUAAAAAAUAUUAAAGAUAUUAAAUAAUAUUUUUAAAAAUUAUGAUAAAUAUACUCAUGUUAACUGUAGAUAAAUUGAAAAAAUAAAUUAUUUUAAAAUUGAUUUUAAAUUGAGAUAAGAUGAUGUAUAAAAGAAAGAAAUUUUAUUAAAAUUUAAAUUGGUAUUUGAUUAAAUUUUAAAAUUUUAGCUAAUUUAAUAAUUUUUAAAAUAUAUUUUAUAAAUAAUUUAAAAUUAAUAAAUAUUUUAUAUACCAUCAUAAUGAAAAAUUUUAAAAAUUAUCUUACUUGUUAAAAAAAAGCUAUCCACGUAAACAUUUAAGUCAACAAUUACUAUUUAAUAAUUAUGUAUGUUGUAAUAUUAUAUUUAUAUAUAUAUAUAUGAUUUGUUUCAUAAUUAACAUCUAAGGUUAAGAAAUUAAAAAGGUUCAUUAAAGUUUGUUUAGGGGUGCCAAAAGAAUAUAUAAUAUUGUUGUUAGAAUAUAAAUAUGUAUAUGUAUAUAUAUAUAUAUAUAUAUAUAAUUCUGUUAGAAUAUAUAUAUUUGUGAAAUUCAGGUAUCCAGGUUAAAAGUAAUGAUCAAGAUGAAAUAAUUAAAGUUAUAAAAUCUUCACUAUUGGUGACAAGACCAGCAACUAUAGUAAUUAUUAUUAUUAUUAUUUCACAAUAAUAAAUAAAUAAAAGUUCCUUUAUGCUAGUUGUAAAAGCAUAAUAUAUGCCUCAAGGGUCUUGUAAGAAUAUAAAUCAAAACUUUAUGAUAAAAUUAGAAAAGGGUAAGAGACCUGAUAAAGGAGCAGCGUUAUUUGAAGAAAAUUAAAGCAGAAAAAACCCAUAUCUGAAGAAAGAUACAGAAUUAGAGUCUCCAAAAAGUUAAUUAGAUAUUAUUUAUUUUCAUGGUGGUUAGAAAAGGUUUCCAAAUAAAAGGAAAGAGAGAAAAACCAAUGGCACAUGAAAAAAAAAAAAAGGAAAAUUAAAGAGAUAAAAGAAGGGUAAAGAUUUAAUUGGCUUCCAAAAAAGCAAAAGAUGAGUAGGCUUAUGUCUGAAGUUUUAGACUUCCACUAUCACAAUAUAUUUUAUAUGUACUUAUCCCUUCCUUUUGAGACUAUACAUAGGGGGAAAAAGCCUAUGGAUUUUAUUUCAACGAGAGAUUAGACAAUUAAAUUUGUCAGUUCCCUGUCACUUUUUUUUCCACCCCAAACACGUUGUUCACUGAGCUACGCAUGAUGGACUCACCUUUUUCCCAUUUAAUGUAAUAAGGAAAAAAUAAAAAAUAACGGUGAAAGUACAAAAAGAUGAAUAUAGAGAUCAAAGCUAGACCCUGCAAGGAAGUUUUAAAUAUAUACCAAUAGGAAGGAGUGGGUGAAAAUAAAAAAAAAAAAAAAAAUAAAAAAAAGAGGAGCUUUUGCUUUGAAAGGAACACCCACUUCCUGCUUUUGAGGGAAAAACCAGCUAAACCUAAGUAAAGGAGGCAAGCGGUUUCAGCUUACCCACCAUGCAUGAACAGGAAAUAUCAUUGUUCUAAGAUGAAAUUGUCAGAAGCAGUAAUACUGCCCAUUGGCAUAAUUAAUUUAAAGAAAGCACAACCAAUCAGUAGGACGCUUACGUUGCAUAGGUGGAUAUUGUGAUCGGUGAGCAUAUUUCCUUGCAGCAGCUUUUGCAAAAACCACCCUGUGUGCCACUAUAUUGGUGGGGAAACAGGUGGUUAGUUUGCUAAAACCUUCAAUAAUGCCCUGAAAAUCUAUUUAAAAAGAAGGAAAAGAAUAGAGAGAGAAAUCAUAAAAAACUGAAAAAUUGACAAAACCAUGAAAGAGAGCAUCAAAAUUCCAGGCUGUCCAGCAAGCAUAUUCUAGCAACAACAAUUAAAUGAUCAAGACCAUAAAAAAUGAAUGUAGAGCGGCGAGGGGAAAAAAGUAACAGUGCCCAGUUAACCCGCUACCUGAGGCAUAAUUCUAACAAGAAUACUUCCAUCCACUGUUGGAAAAGCCAAAACACAGUUGUUCUGGGAGAAAGAAAACUGAUGGUGUUAGAUAACAGUUAAAGAACUGUGAAAUAUCAUUGGCCAAGAUAAACUUUCAAGUGACAUCAUAUUUUGAGAUGCUAAUGGAAACCAGAUAACCCUUUUCCAUAUAUUGAAAUUUUUACCAUUCUCGAAAAAAUUUAUGCAUUAAAUAAGCAAUAAGAUGAUAUUGAAGUGAAGACAAACGUGCACAGCCAAAAAAAAGGAAGAUCGUCCCAGGACGAUAAACGUAUCACUUAGGUGACUCCAGAGUUGAACAUCAUCUGCAUGGUGCUUAGCUACCAACCAUUGCCAAUAAGGUAAUUGGAAGUGCCUCUGGUAACAAGAAGACUUGUAGAGAAAGAUUGUGCUCCACUGCCGGAAAAGAUUACAGCAAAAAAUUAAAGGAUGUGCUGUUAAGCAUUUAUCCUUUGCAGGAAGGCUACAACUGAUUAAGUCAGUAUAUUUAGCUUCCAAAACUACUGGUGUAGACACUUUUAUUACCAAAGCAUGUGAUCAAGAAGAUUGAUCAGCAAUGCUCAAGCUUCUAAUGAAAAGGAAAGGAAGGAUCAGCUAAGGGAGCAAGGGUUAGCUAGGAGGCUAUCCGCUGCCCGAAGUCAGAAGGAGGUUUGGGGCUAUAGAACUCUUUGGUGUGGUAUAAAGCUUGCUUAUUGAGGAAUAUAUGGUCUAUACUAUCCAGAGCUGGAUCACUAUGGAUAGCAUGGAUUGAAGCAUAUGUGUUGAAAGGGAGGAGCAUAUGGCAGGUUUCACCACAACAAAGCAGCAGCUGGAGGGAGUUUCUUCAGCUAAGGCACGUUGCUUAACAGUUCAUAAAACAGGAUAAUGGUAUUGAGAUAUGGCUGUUUCCUAGGAAUUAUUACUCAGUAGCAAUAGUGUGGAAUGGCUUGAGGCCAAGUUAGGGGAAGGUUAAGUGGCAUAAGAUUAUUUGGUUCCAGUACCAUGUAUCAAAACUAUCCCUGACUGCAUGGAUGACUAUUCUAAAUCUGCUGCCAACAAGGGACAGAUUGAGAGCAUGGGGAAUGGAGGUGGAUGAACAGUGCUGCUUUUACCAGUAAGGAAGAGAAUCCAGGGAUCACUUGUUUUUUGAAUGUGGGUUUACAAAAAUUGUCUGGCGAGGAAUAUCAGAGAAAUGAUGGAUUAGAAGAAGAGUGGGGGACUGGGCUGCUGAAUUACUGUGGGCAGUCAGUAGAAUGAGAGGGAAAGCAUUGAUCUGAUCAUCUUGCGUAUUGCAUGGAGUGCCUGCAUAUAUCAGAUAUGGAAAGAAAGGAAUUGCAGAUUGUAUAGGAAGGAAGAGGAGACAACGGAGAAAGUGAUUGGUCGGGUCAAGGAAGCUGUCAAAAACCGACAAGAUGCCUGCAUUCGGUGGCUGCUGAACAGCAGAAUAAGGAAUCAAAGGUGGCAGACACAUAUAUGGUAAAGAAAGGAAUGAAGGUUUAUUAAAGGCAUCAUUUAAAGAAAGCACUUAUGUAAUAUUGAUUUCAUCAAGUGCUUGCUUAAGCAAAAUAAUUCAAAUGUUUGAGAAUUUAACUACAAGUUGGCACUAAAGACAAAAUAGAUGCAUGAUGAUUUUACAACAAUGCUCCAAACUACAUCAACAACAGAACAGAAAUAUAUUACAACUUAGAAUUAUGUCUUAUAUAAAUGAGCUAUUGAGCUCUGGCUCAAAAAAAAAAAAGCUAUUGAGCUUUAACUUACCCAAUGAACCUUAAGAAGGCAAAGCAUGUCUCUAUCUAUUUUGCUGCUCCCUGCUCUGAUUUAACAGAAAAACAGGAUCAUGAAUAUAGUCAAAUGUGUUUCCCAUCUUUAAUAGUCGAGUCAAACAAUAGUUUCUGCAAGAAAAAAAUCAGUGGAAACUGGUAAUCUAUUUAUGAAAGGUACAUUGCUAUGCUUUAGAAAUUUUAAGGAGAAAGAAUAAUAACACAAUCUUAUGAAAGACAUGUAAUAAAGAGCAAAAUCUCCUGUGUCAGAGUCAUAUUGAUGUGUUAUUAUGUUGCCGAUAUAGUCAUUGCUUAAACAAUAAUCUGCAUCAUACAAUUGCAUAUAUCACCAAAAUUGCAAGAACAAUAGUCAAGAGUUAACAGAAAAAAGAAUUUGAGAGACAAAAGAAAUAGUCAGAAAAAGUUAAAAUGCAAUUAUUUGCGCAUGGCAUGUCAACAUUUAUGUUCGAGAUUGCAGUUUCCAAAGCCCAAGAAGCAAGAGAAUUUAUGGAGACAUGCCAACAGAAAAGAAGAAAGAAAAAGCCUUAACAUACAAGAAGUUUUAACAUACAUAUCUAUGAUACUAAACAUCUUACACAUUGAAUGUUCACCAUCCAUGUUUUGAAUCAAUAUGCUUAGAUACUGAAGUAAUGGUGACUCAAUUCUUGAACUUGUACUGCUCCUUAGUACCUGUACAAACUCUGCUAAAACUUGGUAUUACAUAAAACAUCUGCACCAAAUUGACGAAAUUCAGAUUACAUCACAAAGAUACUGAAAAACAUAACCAUACAUGCAAAGAUUUUCAUGAGAAAUGCAUACUCAAAUAUCACUGGAUCUUGUCUGUCAUCAUAUGCCGCUAUCUCUACGAUAGUCUGUAUUUUGACCGCCCAGUUAGUUUGAAAAGAAAAUGUUCAUCUAUUAACCAUUAGGAUUAUUAUCCAACUGAUGAAGAGACGAGUUCAAAACUCCAACAUGCGGGUUUAAUGGCGACAUACCCAUUUAACUGUAUAUCUGUUAAUUAAUUGAACUUUGACUUCCUUAUUUUAUAGUUAAACAGAUACAUGGCAUGCACAUGAACCUAGUCAUGGAGUUUUCAACCUUCACCUUUAUUGUAUAGAAUAAUAAUCCUAAUUAGUAUAACAAUAAAAUUAUUUAAAAGCCAACUAAGUUACCCUGUUCUGCUUAUUGACAAGUUUGAUCUGCUGCAAUUCAGUAAUUACGAUUCUAUACCAGAACAAGAUUAAAAAAAUUUGUAAAAAUAAUAAUCAUGGCAAAGAAAAAUGGAUGGGCGAACACAAAAAGUAAGGAACAUAAACCCUAUUUAAAAUCACCAAAACAAUGAAAAAUAAUAACAAAACUCAAUAGAAGAAAAACAAGCACCGAAUUAUAAUUAAAAUAUUUGUUUUUCAUAUAAAAGAACAGAGAAGAAGAACAAGCGAAAUUAUUGAAGUGUUGAAGAGAGAAGCGAUCGACGGAUCGCCAAAGCGAGCGCCACAUGUUGAAGAAUGUGGAGAUCUGGCUUUUGGAGAAGAAACCCUAGAGGAAGAGAACGAAACUUUUUUGAGGGAAAAUAGAGAUUUUACAGUUGAGUUGGGUCGCCGGCGCGAGGGGACUCGAGUAGAAGACGGCUUUGGUUUGGUGUUUUGGAUACGGCUAAUGCUCCGUUGCGGCAACCAACGUUUCUUCCCUCUUUUUUGCUGCGAGUUUGAAAUUACGCCUAACUUAAAACCGACUUAAAGUAAUAAUCCAAGGCAUAUAAAUCGAUUUUAACACACAAAGGACUCUAGGAAUGACACCUGUCCUGCUUUGAAUGGGUUGUGGGCUGAAUUGGAUUUUUUAAGAGAUGACCUUUAGUGCUUGAUGGAUGUGGUCGGUGGGCAUUCUUUUUGGGCUUUUAACUAUUUAACUGGCUUUUUGUGAAAUUUUGGACUGCCGAAAAUGCUGUCGCCGGCAUCGACGAACCCAAUGCCGGCCACGUCCCCAGCUGCGGCGCGAAAGAACAAAAUAAGGGAAUCAAAAACUUCAGAAUUACAAAAAUUCCCAUCAAAACGAAAAAUCCCUUAAACAAACAACACCAAAAUUUUGUUUGAAAACACAAAGCAUAAACCAAAAGCCUUCAUCUGGCCGAAAACAGAAAAAACCAAGAACCUUAUUCUGUGUUCUAUUUCUAAAACAGACCUGGAUUUUUUUUUAAUUCUAAAAAGUCCAAAUCGAUUUUUUUAAUUCCAAAUUUUUAUCACGAAAAAUCAUGUAUUUAGGAAAAUGUAUUACAGGUUUACAAUAAUUCAAAGCAGAUUUGGAAUUUUUUUCAAAUUAUAAAAACAAAUCAAAUCUUAAAAUUAAAAAAAAACGUGUCUGGCAAACAACCAAAAAAAGAAAUAAAUCAGAUCUACACUACUAAAAAAUCCAAAAAAAAUAAAUUCAGCUUUCGCCGUAGCCAGCACAUUCGACAAACGAUAUGACACUACUAACAAAAAAAAAAAAAAAUCCUACCAAAACCUACAUCUGAAAAAAAAAAUCUAAAUUUUUUACUCAAAUAUCGGAUGAUAGAAGGUUGCUAUCAGGUUUCAAGGUCUUUUUUUUGUGGUAAAAUCACCAACGAUGGUGGCGGCGAUGAAGGAAAAGGGAAAAAAAGAAAAGGAGAGUGAAUUUGUUAAAAUUAUAUUCCUACAGAUUGUAAAAAUCAUAAUUAACGCUAUCCAGUUAUAUUAUAUCACUCUAGAAUCUCUAACUUUUUUUUUUUUAAGUUGUUAGUUGGACCAAACUUGAUUAUUACACUUUUAGUUAAAAGUUGGACCAUAGCAGUCAAAUUUUGUCGGCGUCGACAUAUUCUAAAGCAUCGCUCCGACAUUUAACCCCGUUAGAUAAUCUUAAUUAUAGACUAGUGCUAAAAUAAAGUUAGAAGGCAACAUGCUGUUAGUGCAAUGUAUCAAUUUAACGGCUCUAGUAGGUUCAAUUCCCAUUGCAUUUUGAUUUUACGUGUAGAUGAAGAAGAUGCAAUGGUCAUAUAAAUAUGGACUUAAAUGAAAAUAUCAAUACUUAAGUUUUAUUUGAAUUGAUGGUAAAAUUACUUUUAAUAAAAAUAAAAAAUAAUAAUAAAAGUUAUUUUAAUUAUUAAAAAAAUAUUAUAAUUAAAAUAAAAAAAUUAAAAAAAAUUAUAUUAAAUGAAACUCACUUAAAAUUUGUAUUUGAAUUUAAUUGAUAAUAAAAUAAGUUCAAUUAUAUCACAUUGAAAAUAUAACAAAAUUCAAACUCUUACUUAUCAAAACUAAAUGUAAGUAAAAUUCAAACGAUAUAUCAUUUAUGAUUAAAAAAAAAAAAACAAUUCAAAGUGAUUUAUUUAACCCUAAACCAACAAUUCAAAGUUUUAAUGGUAAACCAUUCAACCAUUGAACCAACCACCUCACACGAACGCCUUACAAUCAAGAGAAAGCUCACAAAUUUCCAACAUACAAUCAUCCAUUUUUGUUUGUGGUUAAGCAAUUGGCCCAGGCAGCUAGCAUUGCUAUCCGAAAAAGAGAGAUGAACAGUGUAGUAGAAAAAUAAAGGAACCACUACAGGCCCGGCACUGAAUUUUUUGCUCUACAAUAAUGAUACUUUUUGAGUAUAGAUUUCGGCCGCACAAGAACCCAAAAAAAAAGCCGACCAGCUCAAAGUUUCUGACAUGUGAAAGGCAGAAAAGUCAUUUGUUUUCUUCUCAUUCAAUCAUCAUUUCCAAUCUUCACAAAUGCUUUUUCAUGUCUUUCUCUAUGUUGUGGUAGAUCUACUCCUAUCAUCAUCUCACCCCUUUUUCUUUUUCUCCUCAUGAUUACUUUACCCUUCAUUUUUUUUUUCUCUUCCUCCAUGUUAAUUUGAAGAAUUUAUAACAUUGUUUUUUAGUGCAUCUGCUACCCUUUUCCACAACAUUUCUUCCAUUGACAGUCGAUGACAUGAUGAAAGCUCAUUUACAAUGCAUUGGAGGAAACUAGUAGAUGCAUGUUUGUUUGAGAAUUUAGUAAGAAAAUGUGGACUAUAAGUGAAAUUUUGGGUAUGCAUUUAAUAGUAUUUGAAAAAAAAAAGUUGCAGAAAUGGGUAGAAUUUGGAUUAUGCUAAAGAAAAACUGGAUAAAUUGAUGAGAUGAGAAUUUGAUGGCUGUGACCCUAUUUGAAAUACUAUCAAAGAACUGGUCCUACACCCCUGUUUUGAUGCUGGUUUUGUACUGGUUUUCAUAAUUUUCUUUUCAUAGGCAACCUAUUCCAACUGCCUGCCUACCCCACAACUGAACUUGUUUUGUAGAUAGGUGAGCAAAAAAGCCAUUAGCAUUAAUAGGCGAACAGUCAAUCCACCAUUCCUCACACGGAAGCAAAAUAGUGUCGUAGGUAACUUUUUAAAAGAAUUUCAGAAGAUUUUCUUGUCCACCGGGCAAGUAAGUUUUCAAGUGUUAAGCAGAAUUGACUUGCUUUUGUUCCAUGCUUCUUGCCAAGCUACUUGUGUUGUGAAAAUUCUUCAUGUGAAUUUGAAAUUGCCUUCCAACGAUUCCCAUAAAGAUUCUAACUGAAUUGCUUCCAAAUCUAAGCUUCACGGCUCUCAUCUAUCUACUGCACCAUAAAGGUGCUGAAACAGUCCUACAGAAAAGAAAAGAAGUUUUGUAAAUGGUAGGUUACUUGUCAGAAUGAAAAACAUUGGGAUUUACUGUUGCAGCAGACAAAAAUACUCUGCUUUUAAUUAUUGAUAGAAAGACUAAUCGGAUAAAAACUCCGAAUUGGUUCAGUGGAUGACACUAUAUCAGCCGGCGAUUAUGUAUCCAAGUUCAGGAUUUUGUGUCCGAGUUUCUUUCUUUUUUUUUUUCAUUUACAACCAAAUACAACCUUUUUUUCGAGAGAGAGAUCAGGUGUGUUGUUACGUACUCAACUCAAUCAUUUAAAAAAGAAAUCACCUCACAUCCAUCAUAAAAAGGCAAAAAAAAAAAAGAGAAAGAAAGAAAGAAAAGGAUGCCUAAAAGGAAGAUGAUUUGGUUUUAAAAAGGAGAAUAAAGGCAAAAGGGGAAAAAAAAGAAAGGAAUACUUACUUGGGAAGAAAAUUACCAGCCAGGAAGCUCCCUGGAAUAGCAUUUACUUUAACGCAAUUGCAAAAGCAAUACAACAGCUAAAAAGCAAUGAAUUACCAAAGAAAAAGAGUAUCCAAUUCCUCCCCACCCCGGGGCACAUUUUUCACUUUUCAAAUAGAAAAACUAUCAUCAAUGAUAGUAUCAAAUGAUAAACAUUUUCUUAAAUCGCCAAAUUUAUUACAUCUAUCAAACUUUUUCAUUAAAUAAUGACAGCAAAAAAGCGUUUAACUCUUUUGUUACCAUUCCAUUACAAUAAGAAAAAUGAAAUGACCAUCUUCACCUUCAUGGCCGAAAAAAAAAAAAACACUAAAUGCAGCUCAUACACAGCUUUGUUUAGCAAAUCCAAACCUCUCAUUUGCCAAAUCAUAUUCUAUGUAAUAAUUCUGCUGUUGAAAGCUCCCUAGUAUAAUAGCCGGCCCGCCGUGGAAACGUUGACUGACUCUAUUAUCAGUAACAACCAUCAAACAGACAACAUUAUCAUCAUCAACGAAUGAGAAAUAAUUAGCCAAAGGCAAUGCCAUUUUGGCUCCUCCUUUGAAGUGGAAAAUCAAUUCCGGGAUUUUUACUGACUUAUAGCCUGAAAUAUUGAAGCAUGGCGCUAGGCCGGAUAUGUUUUCCACUUCACGUGCUCUGCUAUAAUUUCCCAUUUGUUUCUCAAACUCUUUUGAGACUAGCUCGAAGACUGGUCUCUCCAUGAAAGUGAACGUUGAUCCUGAGUCCACGAUGGUGCCUCCAUUACCAUCUGAUCCUGGGACCAAAAAACUGUACGGAACUUUCACAUACUUAUCGCCAACAAGAAUUUUACGUAGAGUUACAUAGUAGAACUCUUGGAAAACUGGGUUUGAGGCAACUUGGUUCUUGUAAAACGGUGUGUAGCUAAGACCCCGGGUGUUUGCAUCACCCGAACCAGACCCGGUUUCCAACAACAUGUUGCUGCUGAUGCCCGUGUCAUCGAACCGGCGAGAAACGAGGCAGUAAGAGAAUUUCUUGAGGCCUAAUUGGGAUGGUAAAGACUCAAUGCUCCGACCAAACCCGGCUAUUCCAGCGGGUUGUCGGUUGGAGACAAUAGAGCAUCCAACAAGGAAAUCUUGGGAAGUUUUCUGAGGAAAAACAAGGUUUUCUAGUAAUAGAAGUCCGCCAGUGGAACCUGAACCGUAUUGAAUUAGGUAAGGAGGGCAAGUUUGAGUACAGUUUUUGGAUGUGGGUUCACAGUCUUGGCAACGAGACUCAACGUCAGGACCAAAAAGCCAACUACACUUCGGGUUUUUGCAACCUACAAGCUUGUUGGAAGAUGAAAGUUUCGGGGAAAAAGUGGGGAUUUUUGUUGGGUCGACGUUAGGGAAAACGCAUUGGGAACAAAGGUAACGAGAGGUGCAAGGGAACCAGGAGAGGCUGCUUCCAGUGUCCAUAACGAAAGUGAGGGUUUGAGGCGGAGUUCCAAAACUGAGAGAGAUAGUGUAGCCGCCAUAACUGUGAGGAAAAAGUGGAGCCUUGAGAAGAGAAGAGGUAGCGUUGGUUUUGUGGUGGGGGUGUUUGAGGUGGUGGGCUCUUGAGACAGAAGAAGUGGCUAAGUUGUUAAGAAUUUGGAAGGGAUCGGAGGAAGGGUGGUGGGGUAAAGGAGAGAGGGAGAUUUUGAUGGUGGUGGAAGUGUUGGUGCCGGUGGUGGCGGAUGAUAGUGUUGUGGAGAUGAUAAGGAAAGAGAAGAAGGAGAUGAAAGGAAGAGAAGCCAUGGAUUAAAAAAAUGUUUUCUCUGUUUUUGCUCUGUUUUUUUUUUUUAAGUAGUAUUGGGAUAAAGUGGAAUGGGGGGCCUGAUGUUUCUCUUGUUGUUUGUUUAAAGAGAGAAAACAAGACAGUAGCAACGGUAGACAACUCGGCAGAGGAAUCAUGUUCGAUUUGGGUGACGCUUUUUGGACACUGUAAGAGAGUAAAUUACCAAUUAUGUCACCACCACCGUACCAAAUUUAAAUUAGAUUCAUUAAUUUUUCUUUCUUUUUCAUUUUUAUAAGAAAAAAUAAAUAAUAAAUUUCUAAGCAAUUGAUCAUGUUACAUGAAUCAUGAUGACACGACUCCUUCAUUAAUAAAUAAAGUUGACUUGACUAUAAUAUUUUUAAGUUAAAUACAUUAAAAUUAAAAUAAAAGAUUAUAUUGAAUAGAAUUUAAUGAAAUUAUUUCCCUUCAAUUUGUUUUUAAUAUUCAAAAAAAAUAAUUUUUUAAAAAUGAAAGUCUUAAUUUAGGGAUAAAAUAAAAAAUGUUAAGUGUUAAAUUUUAUAUUUUAAACUUAUUAAAUAUAAUUUUUUAAAAACAAUUAUAUAAAUCAAAUAAAUUAAAUUUUGAAUUCAAUAAUUAAAUUUAAACUCCUUCUUCUCAAAACAUUUUUUUUUUAAAUUCUCAAUAUUUUGAAAGGAGCUAAAAAAGAAGUGAUGUGGAGGAUUUAAAAAAAAAAAAAAUACAUGAAAAACUAUCAAUCUUUCUCACUUUAACAAAAAUUUUCCAAUAUGCAUGACUUCUCCUCUAAGUUUUGACCAUCUAUUCUCUUUCCUUAACCUUGCCUUUUCGCCUCUUUCUAUAAUACCAAACAAAAGAAUACUAUAAAAUUUCAAAAAUUCUAAGUUAAAGUCUUGACAUGGGCUUACAUUGGAAAAAGAAAUACAUAAAAUCAAGUUUGUUCUCAUUAAACAUAUGAUCUUUAAGAUUUUAAAUAAAAUAAAAAUUAUCAAGUUCACCAUUGGAUACAACUCAACCAAUGUCCUUUGUGAUUUCAUUGUCAGCAUUAUUUUCCAACCCAACAAGGCGGUUUCAUUAAUUGUAGAAACAAAAUGUCAAAAUUAUUUUAAUGUAGGCAUCCAAAUUUUGCAUGUUCGAAUUUAUCUAUAUGGAAAAAGUAUCAUUCUUGAUUUACCGAAGAAAUAAAAAUUCUAUUAAGGAAAUUGUUUGACAUUACUUUGUAAUUUUAGAUGAAAUGAAGGAUUUAAUUGUUAUUGUAUGAUAUUUACAUAGAGCUUUAGAUGCAAUAGAGUCUUAUUGUCUAUGACAAUUGUAACUUUGAACAAGUUCUUAAUCAUUUAUAAAUUUUAGAUUGAUUAGCAUAAAUUUAAUGAAAACCUAUGAUCAAAAGUUUAAACAAGGUGUCUUGUGAAACUAAUUGUUAAGGGUUUUUUUUUUUUUUUUAAAUGUUCUCCCACUUAUAAUUAUAUGAAAUUAUAUUUUGUCAAGUACUAUGUCUUAAGUGCACUUAAAUUAUCAUAAAUUUGAAUUUAAAAUUUAAUUUAAUUAAUUUAUACAACUACUUUUUAAAAAAUGGCAUUAAGUAAAUUUCAAAUUCUAAUUCUAACUUACAAAUUUUCUUCCUGUAAUUUUUUUUUUUUGUAAAAAAAAAGAAGUUAAAGGUGAAACCACUACAAAAGUACACAGUCAGCUUUCAUGGGACCGUUGGUGUUGAGCAAGACUUUUUUUGUUCCCAUACGGCCAAUAAGAGACAAAGGAAAGAAGAAUAAUUUAGGGCUAAACAGUGGUAAUUCACGCCAGCCUUCCCAUCAAUUACAGGAAUUAUCACGUUUUUCUUUCGCGCCAUCAAACCCUUGAAUGUUCCCUGUGGAAGAUGACUAUUUUUCUUUUUUUUAUAACUUACUUCAAAAGCAAUUAAAGCAUAUAAAAUUUUUUUAUUUUUCCAAUUAAAAAGAAAAAAAAUUCUCAUCUCUUUGCUUUUGUGGAAACAGGAAAUGGGAAUUGGACCAGAUAGGGCCUUUCAAGAGUUGCGCUUAUUUUAUCAUUUUAUGGGUUGAUCAAACGAGUUAAUGAACUUAUCUGGCUGAAAAGCUCAUCGUUUUAUAUUAUGGAUGGGCUCUGGCAACUUGUUUUCUGCCCAACUGCUUUCUGCAACAUGGGUUAACUUCUCUCAGCAACGGUGUUGCCAUUUGCUGGCAGCCCUUGCAGGCUUGUACCCUCAACGGCUUUUUCAGCCCACUGCAGUUUUGGGAUUAGAGCCUUAUGGAAAUAUUUUCAUAGAUUGUGUUUACGGUUCUGUUGGACUCCCGAAGCCUUAAAAGCUUAACAUUAAGAAUGAAUGUAAAUGAACAGAAUUUUUAUAAAUUUUUUAUGAAUAUAUUUAGUUUUUAUUUGUUUACAUUCAUUUAUUAAACUAAUCAAAUACAAAUAGAAUAUUUGAUUUGUUUAUAGUUAUGAAUAAAUUUCGUUUAUUUUUAUUUAUUAUUCAUUUUUUCUUAAUUUUAUAACUGGAUAUUUGUUUGCUUAAAUUUUUUUUAUUAUGAUUUAUUUAUUAUUUUUGAAUAUAUGUAUAUAUAUUUAUAAAUAUGUUCGUUUAAUUUUUAUGAACGAAUUUAUUUAAUUUAAAAAAGUCAAACACAACUGAAACAAACUUUUCAUCAUUUAAACGAAUCUAGCUCAAAUGUAAUAAAUAAUUUUUUUAUCAAAUACGAAUAAAAUAUAAACAAACUAUAAAUAUGUGUUCAUUCAUUUGUGUUGAAAAACGUUGUAAAUUUGCAUGGUUUUCGCGUUGAAGUUGAUAGAAUUGCUAACAACGUGUGAUCUGAAUGUUGAAUUGUUUAAUUUCAAUGAAUCUUCUUCCCGAUUUCACCAACAACUAGCUAUUGGCAACUUAGAUUAUUUUAUGAAGUUUUCAAACAUAAAUUCUAAGAUCACCAUUUAUCCAUUAUCUUAUAAGCUUCAAGUACGUAAAAAACUGGAUAAUUUGGCAAAACAAGUUAAAAUGCCGUUCCUAAUGAAAUGGAAACAAUGUUAUUCAUCAAACAUUAAUUGGAUCAUUGCAACAUUUUUAAACUACAAAUGGAUUAAUUAUAAAGUAAGAUGACAACCCAUUGACAUCUGCUUGUUCGAGAUUGCUAGAGCCUAGAGUCAAGCUAGCAUUUCCUGAAUUUAAAUACAACAUAUAAUUUUUAUCUGUUCGCCAACUGUAUGUCUCACAACCAAAGAAAUACAAAUGAUCAAAUCCUGGAAAAUUCAGUUGCCUGCAUCGCCUUCGCAAUAAUUUAUCGGGGAAUCUAAUUUAGAAAACUAUAUAUUUAAUGAUAAUUUAUGCUCUGACAGUUUCUUCUCAUAGAUUUUUGGAGAUCAUACCCUUAAUUAUCAUGGGCAUUUUCAUGAAUUUUAAGCAAAAAAUAAAAUUUUUUUUGAAGGUUUUGGCUGUUCAGCCUUACUUCAUGAUUUCCUUUUGUAAAUGUUUUUGACCAAAUUUGUACAUUAUAUUUAAAAAAAAAAAUUUGCGAUCAAGGAUUCUUUUAACUGAUAAUUAUAAAUCCACGUGCAUUUUCUUAUUUCAUUAUCACAAUAAAACAAGAAGAAAAUAAAAAUAAAAGACUAGUAAUUAAAUCUAGAGCAGUACCUGGAUGGCAGGAUGAUGGUUUUGGAAAGAUAAUCCAAGCAACCUAAGAUAAUCUUAUCUUCUCAAAAAAAUAUUUUUAAUUGAAACAUGCAUUUUGGCAAUUUUCAGCGCAUUCAUGUUUGCUUUUCUAAGAAUUAAUUUACUUAGAUUUAGAUGAACAAGAAUGAACAGAGACUGACGCUGUCUAACUCAAAAAGAUUUAAAACCAAUUACUGCCAAAAGAGGCAAAUUAUGGUCAACGACAAUCCCAUUUUCUCAUGUCUAACUUGCAAGUUAAGUAUUUUAUUUUAGAACUACUUGUUCGUUCACACUUCCCACUAAUAAAUAACAAUUAUUAAUUAAUCUUUUAACAUUUAAUUUAUUUCUAAAUUAAAUAUUGCACAUCAUGGUAUUGGUGAAAAUUAAAAAUAAUUAAAAAAGGUUUGAUUUUGAAAAAAGGAAGUUAUAUGAUAAUAUCGAUUAUCAUGGGUGAGUAAUUUUUUUUAUAAAUGAAAGACAAAUAUUUUUAAAACGUUUUAUUAUUAUAAUUUUUAUUUAAUUUUAAGUGAAUUUAUUAAUUAAAUUAUUAUUUAAUAAAUUUGUUACAUCAACUCAAUUAGUUCAGUCAAUGUAAUAUUAAUAUAGAAUAUUGGUAUAGAUUAUGUCACUAUAUAAAUUACUCAAACAAUAAAUGUAAAACAUUAAAUAUAAGAAAGAAGCUCGAAAGAGUUAAGAACAAAAGAAAUAGAAAAGGGAUAUAGGCAACGAUAAAGGAAAAGAUAUUUAAAAAAUGAUAAAAUUAAAGGUUAUUUUUAUUAUUUUAAUGAUUUUUAAUUUUAUACUUAAAUCUUAAGAAUGAUUUUUUUAUUGAUAUUAAUAUUAAUAUAGAAUGUACGAUCUUUAUGAAAUUAUAACACAUUUUGUCUUGAGUGAACAAUUUAUUUGUCUGGAUUGUUAUGAGUUAAAAGAAUUAUUCAUUUGCUUUAGUCUAAAAAAUUCUUUAUAAAAAUAAAUCAAUAAUCUAUCCAUUUAAGAAAUUUUUUUUUCCUAAAAUGGACUUCUGAAUUGUUAAUGGAAAGUGGAAACCGAGCAGUUUGCACAUGUUCCCUGGAGAACGUAGUAUAAUAUUUAGCACUAAAAAACAGAGUAUGAGCCUGCUGGCUAAAGCUAAACAUAAUAAACCAACUGCACAAUAACCGUCAAGCCAUUCAUCCUUGAGACUGAUCAAGCUUUGAAAAUCUCGAGAACAAUGAAAAAAAAACCAACACAUCAAUAGAAUUUGACACAAAGCCAUCAAUAGUUUGACAGCAGAUCGCACAGAGGAAAAAAAAAAAAGAAAAACCACCCUGUGCUGUCCUACCCCAUCUCAUCCCAUCCCAUUCUGCUCUGUUUUGUUCUCUUCUGUCAGCGUGCGCUCGUGCCAUCUCCACGAUCCUUUCUAUGCCUUCCUGCGUCGGUUACGCUGCCGGCGGCUUGUCCCACACCAGUGUCUCUAUCUCUCAUGUUGUGGGACCCUCUCCCUCAGCAACAGUGCUGCCUGUAAGUCUCUUUCAUUUAAUCCCGUGGGGCCAAUUGCCCACGCCCCCUUUGGCAGACCCAGCUCCUUCGGCCAUUUCGGCCCCGUUAAAAUCUUAGUCGACAGGGUCGGAGAUCUUUCCACAACGGUUGAAUCUAACGGCAGUCAUACCCUCCACGUCCAAGCUUGAGGUUGACAACAUUUGUCGAUUACAAAAAAGCAAAAAAACAUAAAAACCGUCACCGUUCACAAAACAGUACCUUUAUUUUUUAAGACUAGAAGAUUAACGUUGCCGACCGUUGUAAUUUUGGUUUGUUUACUGGCUGCUACAUGUGUGGAUUAUGAACUGGAAUUUGGAUGAACUGUCACGUACUUUCUUUGAAAUUGCUUUAUCAAUGUUUCUUAGUAUUAAAAGUAAAAACGAAGAAUACUAUUUGCUUUUCUUGAAAUACAAGCAAAUAAUACGAAGAAUAUUGUCAUAACUCUUUGUUUUCUCUGGUCUAAAAGCAACUCACUUUUUCAUUACUUUGGUAUAUAUGUUAUGAUUCCAAUUUGCAUGAACAAUAAUUUUUAUUUAAUAUUUUUUUUUGUGUUAUAGUAUUGCAUUUUGUUUUCAGAUUACUCUUCAUAUGAAUAUGUAAUAGUAUUUUAGUCUUUUAUGGUACACAGGAAAUUUAGAUGAGAAAAUUUUCAAUAUCAGUAAGUUUUAGAAGUGGUCUGAUAGCCAAACACGCCAUGGGAGGGAGCAUUGCAACAACAAGCAGCGGAAAUAUAUGGAGUGAUGCAUGGCAUGGGUCUGCUUAUUAUUAUAUCAUCACAUCAAUCAAUCAAAAAGCAUAAAUCAAGCAAAAGCAAAAUCAUUACAUUUGUCAGUACAUAAGCACAAGAUCAUUCCCCAAGGAGCAUUUCCAUUUCCCAAAGGCCCCUUUGCCUUUGCCUUUAUUUAUAAAAUUUCACCUGCUGGCUCCUAACAGCCCACGUGGAAUUUUUCAUUGUAAAUUAGGUCAACAUUGUUAGUUUCAUAAUUAUCUUUUGAGUGUUUAACUGUAGGCUGUUCUCAUUAAAUUCUUUUUUAAUUACAGUGAAUUUUUUUAUUGCUAAAUAAAAGAUAUCAGAUAAUUUCUUUAGGGCAAUAGUUGUUCUAGAAUUUUAUUAGUUACGUAUUUUACAAAUUAGUCAGAAGCCAUUAAAUUAAUGUGAUAAUUAGUAUGUUAACAUCCAAUGAAACAGUGCCUUUGACCAACUGACUUUUUGGGUAAAUUAAUAAUUUUACUCAUCGAAGGCAUGAAAUUUUUUAAUUUUAUAAAUAAGAUUAAGAUGAUAAUAUAUAUAUUAUUUUUUUAAAAUUAAAAAAUUUUAAAUAUAUAAAAAAUAUAUGUCAACAUUUUAAUUCCGUUUAUAAAUUUAAAAAAUUAUUUUUCUCAUCUAAGACAUCUAAUUAAUAAUGAAAAAUUAUUUGAUACAUUGAUAAUCAAAUUAUUUAAUUUUAUAAGUAAGAUUAAGAUAAUAAUAUAUGUGUUAUUUUUUAAAAAUAUAUAAAAAUAUGUAUUAUUAUUUUAAUCCCAUUUAUAAAUUUUAAAAAAUUCAUUAUAUUUGUUAAUUUCUCGCUAAGAAUUUACUCCUUUUUUUUUUUGCCAAUUUAACAAGUUGGUUUAAAAAUUAAUUACACUUUUCCAACUAAUGUGGGAUAUUUAAUUAAUUUAAAACUAAGGAAUUGGAAGCCCUUCAACCGGCACUGGCAGGCGCACCCAAAAUAUUGGGGUUUUUUUAACACGUGAGCGUCAUGCUUUUCUAAUUAAACAAGACAAAUGCAUUAAUUAUUUUAGAAAGAACAAUAGUGAGAAACUUAAUUAUUAUUUAUUUUAAGAAAGAACAAUAGUAAUGUUCUAAUUGAGAUGGAAAAUGCCACAAUGAGGUUGCUCUCGUUUAAUUCUUAUGAGCUACUUUCAAAAUCUUAUAACAACAUAUGCAUACAUAACAUGCAUUAUUAUAUUGAAUUCUAUGCUAAAUCUUCAAUGGAGUUGGGAUGAUAAAUGAUAAUAAUUUAUAAACUCAAACUCCACUUAUUGUUGUUAAAAGAUUAUGGUUUGUCUCUAUUUUAUAGGUUUGGUUUCGUGAUAGUGAAGUUAAGAACCAAUAAUUUUAUAUUUAAAUAUCUUGUUUCAUAUCUGAUAAUUUUUUUUGUUUACAAAUUUUAAUUGUAUAAAAAAUAUAUAUGUAAGAAAAUAUUGGUAUUAUGUAAAUAUGAAUUGAUUUCAUACUUAACUGAAUGUAUUUCAUCAACAAUUUCUUAUUAUAAUCAUUCAAUUAUAAUAAAAAAUAUGUAAGGUCACUAUUUAUAAAUAUAUAUUUCAUAUAAAAUUUUGAUAAAUUUCAUACAAUUUUAAAUUGUGAUUAACUAAUUAUAGUAUAAGAUGGUACGUUCCAUAUUUUAGUAUGUAUUUAUGUAUGUAUAUCAUGAUUAAUAUACAUAGGCUUUUAAUCACGAUCUUUUAUUCUCUUUAAAGAAACAUUAAUAUCCAACGUUUAUUUAUAAAUUUAAAGAAUUCAUAAAUUAUGGAUUUAGAGAUUUUAAGUUUUAUUAUUCAUUGGUAAAAAAAAAAGUUUUAUUAUUCAAUUUUUAACUUUUAAUUUUCAUUCAUUAUAAUUGAAAAUUUUACAAAAUUUUUUAAAAUAUGAAUUAUUGUAUGUUAUAUAAAUCAUUAUUCAUGUUGAUUAAUCUUAACCAAAGCCGUGCCAAAAAAAUUGAAUAUUUGAAGGAUUUGUAGUUGAUGUAUGAUUAAUAUAUAAAUAUUAUAUAUUAUUAAUGAAUCAUAUAGUAUCAUUUUAUAAAAAAAUUUUUAAUAUUUUUAAAGCUAAGUAUUUUAUUUUAAAAAUUUAAAAUAAACUUUUAUGAAAUAUUACCAUGUUAUAUAUUGAUAGCAUAUAGCACUCGUACACCGAAAUUACAUCAAACUCAUAUUGGAAAAGUUUAUAUUAUCCACGUGGAUGAAAACUACUGGCUGACAGUGUAAAACCGAGACAAAUGCAAGGCACAUCACUAUAGUCUCCAUUUUUCCAAGUUCCCACUUUGGGUUUAUUUUGCUCCGUUAAUCAAUCAAUAAAAGUGGUCCCUCUCUGUCCAUAAAAAGAAAAUCGAUAUUUUCAACCUUGAAAUUGAAUUAUUAAGAGACGGUAUUAUAUUGUUGAAUGUGGGGUUGGAAACAUUUUUCUGUUCUACAUGCUUACCUUGUUCUGAUUUCUCAACUUUCUUCAAAGGACAUCAUUAUUGUUGGAGAAAAAAAAAAUAGUGAAAGAAACAAAGAAAGGAAGAAAGGGAAGAAAAGAAGGAGAUGGAAGAGACAGAGUCCAGGUUUAAAAGGAUUUGUGUGUUUUGUGAGAGCAGUUCAGGGAAGAAAUCUAGCUACCAAGAGGCUGCUGUGGAGUUAGGCAAGGAACUGGUAAUUUAAACAAUCAACUCUUACUUUUUCUUCUUUUCUUUUCUUUCUGAGGAUAAGUAUUUUCUCUCUCUUUUUUUUUUUUUGCUUCGUUUCAUUUGCAGUUUUCAAGAGUUUCCCAGGAAGAAUAUUACAAUUCCAAUUUGGACACUUUUUUUUCGUACUUGUUUUCAGAACUAUAUUCCAACAUUCCCAUCUCGAACUGCGAUUUCCUAAUUCCCAUUGCUUCCAACAUGGAACAUUGUUUUGUUUUCUAGAAAAUUUCAUUCAAUGAAUGAGCUUGGUGCAAUUCUUUGCCAUAUACGAGGAAAACACUUUCUUCAAUCAUAUCCACUAACUCCUUUCUUAAGUUUGUAUUCCUCUUAGAUCCUAGAAAUGAUUUUUUUCUUUUAUGAAUUCUUUUCUUGUUCUUCUCAAGUGGGGGAUGUUGAAUGCUGAAACAAUCAAGCCUUCGACGUGCGCUUAUGAUUGUAGAGGGAAUUAGCUGUACAAGGACUAAGGAGAGAAGGUUUAGAGUUUAUGUUUGGCAUGAGAGAGAGAGAAAGAGACGGACUUUGCUAGCUGUAACCUGCCUGUCAGUUGAGCAGCCUUCUUGCAUGAUCUUUUGUUUAUUUUUUUUAAGAACCCUUUGAAAAAUGAAAUAAUACAGUAAUAUUAUUAAUAAGAACUAUAAUAAUCAAUAAUCAGAUAUUGAAAAUGAAAAUCAGAGCGUGUUCUUCCCUUUGGCACUUCUUCAAAAAAACCUCCAUGAUUUUUGUUUAUGGGAUUCCAUGAAAAAUACUUAUAUAUUUAUAUAUGUCACUCAUUUUGUAGGGUUUUGUUUUGAUCAUUCCCUUUCCACUCGACCUUAUAAUUGUUUUCUCAAUUUGUUUAUGUUUCCUAUUGUUAAUUAUUCUAUAGACAAAAAAAUUUUAAUGUUUAUGUCCUUGUGACACGUGUUAAUAGGGUUUGAUUUGAUGCAUUUUAGAAAAAUGGUUUUUUUUUUUGGAAGGUGGAGAGAAGGAUUGAUUUGGUCUAUGGAGGUGGCAGCGUGGGAUUGAUGGGUCUUGUUUCUCAGGCAGUUCGUGAUGGUGGGCGCCAUGUUCUAGGGUUUGUUUUCUCUCUUUCUCUCUCCUUUUCUUCUUUUAUUGUCUUCUUGUUUUUAAAAGACAAGCAUCAUUGUAUAUUUUUUUUAAUCUCAAGAUAUGGGUAAUGAUCUUUGUGUUUUUUUGUUUUUUGGACUUUGAAAUUGGUUUCGAGUGUUUGACAUUUUUAAAGAGUUUUUCCUUCUUGAACCAUGCAAAAUUUUUUUAAUUAUCUAUGGCAGUGGGACGUUUCUCAACAAAGGCAGACAUCAUGGGAUCAAAUGCUGCCCCAGAGAUAAUAAUAGAAUUUAUUUGUCCCCCCCUUUUUCACAUGUGUAAAAGGUUUCUGUUUCGAGUGGUCAAAUUGGAUUUGUGCAGAAAGGAACAUAGUUUAUCUCGUACAUAUAUACUACAAGAAUCUGAAAGUGCCUUUACUAAAGUUUUUACAAGGCUUUUUUUAAGCAGCUUUGAUCGGCUGGGAAAAGUGAAUGAAACACUUUUGGUCCUUGCAUUGUCAGUCCACAAUUGUACUCCCAACUUCCUGUUAGAGUUCAUUUUAAAGUUGUAGACUCUAUAAUCUUUGAAACUCUUUUUGCAGUCAUUGGAAUGGAGCCCCUCCUUUUGACAUAACUAAUUGCAAUUGUUACAGUUAAAAUGACUUAGAUGCCCCUGGACAAAACAUAAUUUUUUUAUAAUUUGUAGUCUAAUUUCUUCCAAAUUUGGAAGUAAAAUCUACUAUAUUCAAUUCUUUAGUUUAUGUCCUUGGAAUUAAUGGUACUGAUUUAUGGUCGGUGGAUUCUGCAGUGUAAUUCCAAGGACCUUGAUGCCGAGAGAGGUAAAUAUUUAGAGCCUUGUAUCAAACCGCCAACUUGAUCCGAGUUGUCUGCAGCAAUAUUAUCUGAUUUCUAUUACCCAUGAAAUCGAUCAUUUACAAUGACAUGGCUGAAAACAUGAUAACAUGAUAGUUUAGCUGUCCAGCUGUAGCUGUCAGUUAUGUAGCCUAAUGAAUAAUGAUAGAACUAUAUUAUGGCUUACAGAUUCCGAUCGUAAAAAUAAAAAGUGAAGUGUCAACAUCUGAAAGCUGAGUGCAAUGAAAAGUUUUUCACUCGGUUCACUUUCUGUUAACUGGAUCUGCCAUGUGCGUUCAUAACACUAGGCAGUUAGUUGCUGCAGUGAUUUGUUGCGUAGUGGAUAUCUGUUCGAUUGUUUAAUUUCUUACUUUUUUUACUCUUGUUAUUUCGAAUUUAGUAGUAAAUUUUUAAUGGAAGGUGUUGUUGCAGAUUAGUGGUGAGACUGUUGGAGAAGUAAGAGCUGUAUCUGAUAUGCACCAAAGGAAAGCUGAAAUGGCACGACAGGCUGAUGCCUUCAUUGCACUCCCUGGUAUGAAUUCCUAUUUGAUUCGCACAUCCCCUCUUAUUCUUAUAUUUUGCUGUCUGUAAUUUAUCCAUUGAUCUGGAUGUCAUAAAUAUGUGCGGCAAUACGUGCUUACAUCACAGUAUAAUUUAUUAGAAAUGCUUGGCUUGGAAUGCUCAAACAGUACUUUAUACUUACGUGUAAAUAUGAAAUGUUUUAUUAAAUAUCAGGUGGCUAUGGCACCCUGGAAGAACUGCUGGAAGUUAUUACAUGGGCUCAGCUUGGAAUCCAUCGUAAACCUGUAAGAAAUAUUUUACAUUUCCCUCUUUUUUUUUUUUUUUGGUUAUGUCGUUCAUUGAGUAUGAUGGAUUGGUAGACGACAGAUAAGAACUUGGUCUCGAAUAAAAAUUAUUUGGUCGCUUAACAAUAAUUGUAGGAAAAAAUGAUUUGCAAUUAACAGUCUAAAAUUAAAUACAUAAAUAAUUCUCCUUAUAAGUGGUAAAAACAAAAUCAAGGCAAUGGUAGUUUAUUACAGAGAAAAUAAUUGAGGUUGUCAACUACAGAAACAUGUGGCUUUCCUCAACAGAUAAACAAAUGGAUUUUUCACCAUAAAAUAUUUGUUGUUCAACUUUUCGAUCAAUCUAAUAUAUUUAUUAUCAGCCGUUCCUACGUUCACAUGACUUCAUGUUUAAUUUUUUUUGUAGAACUCAACUUGGUUUCUAGUCUCACAUUAAUGUAUAUUUCUAUACCGUCACCAAAUCUCGAGUACAUUGAUGUUUUUUAGGUAUUCCAUGGUACUCUUAGAAAGCAAAUAUGACACUAGUUUUGGUAAAUUAAUAUCUUAUAAAUGGUGAUGUAUUAGGGAGAAAAACUUUAGAAUCAAUUCAUGUGGUGCUUCAAUAGAAUUCGCAUGGAAAGAUAGCAUAAGAUUUGAUAACCUAAUGAUGCUCGUGCUUCAUGAUUUAGAGAAUUGAUUGGGAGAAAGGUUCUUACAUACUAUUUAAAAUUAGGAAAAAAAAACAAAUGUUGGUCAAUUGAAGGUUUUGGUAUUGUGUCUUAGGUCACUAGACAAGCCAAUAGUACUAUAAUUUGAUAUAAUAGACUUGGAUAUCAUACUUAAUUUAUCAAAUAAUUUAAAAGUAAGUCGUAUUCCUUUGUAGGUGGGUCUCUUGAACGUGGAUGGAUAUUACAAUUCUUUCUUGUCUUUCAUCGAUAAGGCCGUUGAUGAAGGCUUUAUUUCCCCGACUGCACGUCGCAUUAUCGUGUCUGCCCCAACUGCUAAACAAUUGGUCAGACUACUAGAGGUAAGCAGUUCCUUCUAAAAUAUUCAAUGGCAAAUAAAAAACACUUCAAGAAAAUGAAUAGGAAACUCACAUGUUUGAAGGUUGAAUGACCCAAGUUCCAUGGCAUAGACUAAUUUAAGUAGAAUCACAUGUACCCUAAUCCCCUAUCAUUAACCAUUUUUUCUUCAAGCAAUGAUGUCCCCCACUUUUCCAUUGACUAAGGUUUUCUAUGUUAAACAGGAUUAUGUACCAGAAUACGAUGAAAUAACGUCAAAAUUAGUAUGGGAUGAAGUGGAUCGGUUUAGUUACGUACCCGAAUCCAGGGUUGCCAUGUGAUACAUAUUGCCUCGGCUUUUUUUUUUUUUUUCUCAGCAUACAUAGGGGUAUAUACGGUCGUAACACCAUACAACCAGCAAUACAGGAACUUUUUGGUGGAAUUUUGGAACUUGAUGUUCGUGGAGGAAAGAUGCUGUGUCACUUUCCCACUUUGUGAAACUGUGAAGAAAUGAUCAUCAAUUUAAAACCCACUAUGACUACUAGUACUAGUUACGUUCAUAACCAUUAAUUCAUUAAGCCUCUCUUAUCAAUAUGCUUAAGUAAGAAAGAUGAGUAAAGAAAUGGUAGUGCUUGAUUAAGUUGGCCUCCAUGCGUAAAAAUAAUUAGGCAUUAGGAUGGAAUUUGGCUUCAAUACUCCUUUCUUCUCUUAAGAUUUCGUACAUAAUAAUCCAUGAUUAUAUUCAUAAAUUAAAAAAAAAAAUCAAUGAACUUUGACUUGUAAAAGCAAAAUGAUAUUCAAAUGUUGGUUUGUUUAGAUAAUUGGACUUCAAAUUUGAUUGAGUUUGAAUUCCUUAUUCACCUAAUGAUCAUUGAAAAAGUAGUUUACCGAUUCAAACCGAAAGGAUUCAUGAAUCAAGACCAAAAUUUAUCAUACAUAUUAGAAAAAUAGAUUAAUAUAAUUAUAUUAUAAUUUAUUGGAUUGAUUAUUAGGUGUUGAAAACGGUGUUUAAGGAAUAUAUUUUCAAAAUAUUGAUUUUUUUUAUUUUAAUUAUUACAUAUGAUGUGUAACAAAUAAUUAAUUUUUUUCAAUAAUAUAAUUAUGUAACAUAAUUUGAAUGAAAGUGAUAUAUAAUGAUAUAACGUAACUCUUUUAUAUAAUUUUUUUUCAUUUUUGAAUUGGCGUACUUGUUACAGAGUCAUGGGAUCAUGGCAAAUUGUGUAAAAUUUUCUGUUCAUUAUCUAAAUCCUAAGCUAUAAUUUUAAUGUUUCCCGUCGUGGUCCUCUGAAUCCUCUCAAAAUCAAAAUUUACUGAAAAAGCUCAAAAUUCAAAACUCAUGUUUACAACCGAUAAUGAUAAGGAAGAUGCACGUGUCACAGAUUUAAGGAGAAGUCUCGAAUCUCUUAUCGAAUAUAAAAUGAAGGUUACUGGGAUGUAAAAGGGUUCGCACCAUCUCUUCUUUAUGAAAUGUCUUUUGUAAGAUAAAAUCGUGAGAUCAAAAGGGUCAGAACGGAUAAUAACUCACAAUAAUAUAAAUCGUGACAAGUAAAUUGAUCUGAAAUGUCGGAUGAGUGAAUGCUCAGAUCUCGAAACCGCGCGAGUCGAAACUUAAUCUUGACCCAUGAUACACGUCCAUGCCCAUUUUAAUUUCUCUUAUUUAUUUGUCAUUUAUUCAUUUGAGAAUUGAUAAAUUUGAUUUUAAUAAAUUUAGGAUUUAAUUAAGUUGAUUUAUAUUUUAUGCAAGCAUUUUAAAAAUAUAACAAAUAAAUUUAAAUUUAAAAUUUAAUAUUUACAAUUCUUUUUUAUAUUUAAAUUGUGAUUUGAUAAAAAAAUACUGACCUUAAAUUAUGUAAUAAAUUAUUCAUGCAAAAAAAAAGAUAAAUAAGAAAAAAAUGAAUGAGCACCUAAAACCUAAUAAUUUGAGCUAAAUACUAAAGUUUUAUUUAUUAUAUAGUUAAUGUUAUAAAUAUAUCUCAAAAACAGUGAACAUAGUUAUAAUCUAAAUCGAUAAAACUUUGAUAAAGUUUUUUAAGUGAAGUUUGUGAAAAUUUUUUUAAAAAGUGAUUUAAUAAAAAUUUUAAUAAAAAAUGUAAAUUAAUAGAUUAAUAAAACUUAAUGUUAAGAUCAAUAAUAUAUAAAAAAAUAUUUAAAAUAUUUUUUAUAAUUUAAAUUUGAUAAAAACAUACUUAAUAAUAAAAAUUUUAUCAAAAUUUUUAUGAAAAGUACUUAUAAAAAUAUUAAAAUCUAUUAAAAUUUUACACAUUUACUUUAUGUAAUAAGACCUUUAAAUUUAUUAAUUUAUUAAUUUUUAUUUUUAUUUAAUUAUUUUUAAUAUAUAAUUUUAUAAAUUUCACCUAAAAAAUUUUAUCUAAAAAUUUUCUUCGAGGUUUAGUAUUUCACGAGUCAACAGAAGGAAACAAAGCCGUCAAUUGUGUUCCAUAAAUCAUGUUGAAUUCAUAUGUUGCUUUUUCAAUGACAAUAAUAUAUACUAUCACAUGCAUGUUACUGGGAUUGGAUUGGAAUGGAUUUUUGUUCGUUUCAAAUUCAAUUUGAUUUUAUAUCUAUAAUAUUUGAAUCAUAUUUAAUAUGAUAAGAUUUUUUAUUUUUUUUAUCCGAUUCAAUCCGACAUCAUAUAAAAUUAUAUUCGAUUCGAUUUGAUUUAAAAUUAAUAAAAUAUUUUUUAAAAUAUAAAAUAUUAUUUUUAAUGUAAAUAUAAAAUAAAAAAUAAAAAAUAUAUACAUAAUUAAAUAAAUAAUUAAAAUAAUAAUAUAUACAUAUACUGGAUCGGGAUAAAUUUACUUAAGAUGCAACUCGACUCAAAACUUAAUUUUAAAAAAUAAUUGAUCCCAUAAAGGCAAAUCAGAGCAAAAUACAUCGAAGACAUGUCAGAAUCUGUUGAAAAAUGGUUAGGCUAUCAUCCAUAGUUGGAGUAAACAUUUUUUGGUAUGUCAUAUGAGAAAUACAAAUGAUGUUCCUUUUCACAUGUAAGAACUAGGGGUCAAGAAAGAUAUGACUUCUCAAAUUUUUUUUCUGUCAUUAUUAUGUUUAAAUUGGAUUAAAGACAUUUAAAUGUUGAUGUUUGCAAAUAAAUGAUUGUUUGAUUUGUAAAUUAAUUUGGAUGGUUUAGCAUGUGAACGUUUAUAUGGAAAAAGGGCUUGCAAUAGGUCAUGCCUUGGCUUAAGUCUUAUAAAUAAUGCAAGAGUAACACUUAUACCUUAAAUCAAAUUAUUCAGACUCAUCUCUAUUUUUUAAGCUUCGACCUUCCCUUUAUCGAAUGUAUGUAUAUAUAUAUAUAGUCAUACUUGAAAAUAUCUGAAUUUGAGGUGUUCAAUGUUUUAUAUUUUAAAUAUUACAUUAAAAAUUUUUAAAAUUUAAAUACCAUAUUACAUAUUUUAUUAUAAUUUAACAAUCAUAUUAACCCUUAUAAUUUAUAUAACGCGAGAUACAUGAUUGGUCGUUGAUCCAAGUGAUGCUACUUGGAUAACUUAAAGAUUAUAUCUUUGUAAUCCCACAUCAAGAUUCUUUGGAGUCAGCCAUAUCUAACAGACAAUCCAACAGGUGACAGCUGUAGAGCCCUCCCUAGUUUCAUCACGAAGCUGAGUAUUUAAAACAAGUUGGAAAGCUUUUAGAAAAUGGCCAGGAAAGAAAAAUGGAAAAGAGAGAAAUAAUCAAUUUUCUCCCCUUCGCCUCCAUGACUUUCAGCAUUCGUCAUAAUUACCUGGUUUCUACUAAGAUCCUUUGGGCUUUGGUAAUGCAGAAGUCAGGAGUAGAAUUUUGACCCAGCGGACGGUCCCACCUAAAGCAGAAGCAUAUGAGCCACCGGGGCCAAUGCCCAUCGCUCAUCGGGCCACUCUGAUUAUGCAUCAAAGUCUUGCUCAGUAAAAGUGGGUGACAAAAAUAUGAUUGGUUUUCUUUGUAAAUGCAUUAAAAAAAGCGCCAAGCCCAACUUAAAACAUGAUUAUUCCCCAGACAUUACCGACAUUACCAUCCAAAGCUCGUGAUUGACAACAGAUACUUAGAAACAAAACUCAUUUAGACCAUUACUGAUGAACACAGAUAGUCUCUGCCUUCUUCUUGCCUAGUGGCUACCCUCAAAUUGCUGCAAAGUAUUCCUUGCUCAGCUUAGGGUCUGGUUUCAUGGAUUUCUCUCCGGGCUUCCACCCAGCUGGGCAAACUUCAUCUGGAUUUUCUUGCACAUACUGCAAGGCCUGCAGGAGUGCAAACCAAAAAAGAAAGGCAAAAGCAAAUUACAAGAUGAUACAUGCUAGAAAGGAAACUUUCAACAUAAAGUAACAUGUAAAAUUUCAAAAAUCAACUCCUAGAACCUGUUUGGAUGCACCUCCCUCCCCCCAAACAAAAAAACAUGGCACUCGGCACAAGAGUCAUGCAUCCAAUCGGGACUUUAGUCAAUUGCAGUUCUGGCCUACUAAAAUAUAAAAUUACCUGGAGUGUCCUCAUUGUUUCAUCAACACUUCGCCCAAUGGCAAGGUUGUUAAUAGUAGAGUGCUGGAUAAUUCCCUCCUUAUCUAUAAUGAAAAGCCCUCUCAAUGCAAUUCCCUGCCUUUCAAAGUUAACUUUGUAAGAAACAUAUGGUACAGAUCAUAUUUGCAAUAAAGAAGUGCUCAGUGUGGGGAAAAGUCUAGUAGUUGAUAGAGAGAAUGACAAGAGAGAGUGAGUGAGGUGGCAUGGCUCUGAAAACAGCUUCCAGUUCUCAACUUAUCAAGUGUUUCAAAUAACUUGUUUUGUUCUUUUUGAAUGCAAAACCUCUUUGUUUGACCACAAUUUUCUUAGCUUAACAAACACUAAAUUCCAAGAUUUCAGCCAAUUUUCAAAAAUCAGGACAUCUAUACCUGAUCAGGAAUCAACACUCCAUAGGAUUUGGAAAUUGUCUUGGUGAUAUCAGAUAUAAGUGGAUAUUUCAAAUCACCAAGACCACCUGACUUUCUCUCUGUUUGAACCCAGGCAAGGUGAGAGAACUGCAUAAAUAAUAAGUUGAGAUUAAGUUCUAUUUACUUAAUCUAAACUAUAAUGCAACAAAGUAAACUUCAACAUAAAAUGACAAAUGCGGAUGCUUCAACGAUGUAUUAAUGCUUAGUUAUACUAAACAAUAACUAUAAUCUAAGCUAUAAUAAACAUACGUAUUACAUAGACUUCAAGCAAAAAUUAAAAAUGCAGAGCAUCAGAAGCAAACAUACAAAAUCCACUAGAAUCAUAGCCUUUAGUAAUAUCAACUUUUACAUGAUAUAUAAGUUGAUAAGCAGGUUUACAGUGAUUGCAAAACUUUCCAGAUUGAAUAAAGUAACACAUAUUAAAUUGUUUGCGGAUCACUAAUACAUCGUUGAAUGCAGUAUUUUUUUGCAACUAGGACAGGAACAUUCUCUAUUGUUUUUCCUCUCCUAUUAAACAUCUCCUUGAUCCACUCUGAAAUGCUUGCUAUAACAGCAUUUCACCCAGGUUAAAAAGAAAACCAUUAGCAUUUCAUUAGUGCUACUACAAAUCUUCUAGAAUUGUGGACAUAAAAUGUAGGAUCAUAAGAAUAUAGAUAAACAAUUACUUCACAAAACAUUUAGAGUACAGUGCACUAGCAACAUAGGAUAAUGAGGAAAAGAAGUAUUUUGUAAUACAAUGCAGAUAUCUUUAACAACCUUUGGUAAGACAAUGUGCAACUCUGUGACUAUAUGAUAGGCCCACUACAGUGAUGAUUAUAAAAUUGCAAAUCAUUAUAAUCAUGUAUCUUCAAAAUUAGUCAAUGACAGCCAAACAUAACUAACAUCAUUACCUACGCUACACAAGACAAAAAGGUGACUCAACCAGGAAUGCAACACAAUUUAUUCAAGAAAAAAAAUAACAGCCAGAACCAGAUUAAACUGAACCAGGUUAGAUGUUAUCAGGGAAAAGGAGGCAACAUUUGACCCAAAAGUGAAUUGUCCACUCAAACUGUCCAAAAUCCAAGACCACCCAACCUGCAUUAACUCAAAACUGCCAACAAGCUGAAACUGAACAUACCUGAAAGUCUAUUGCCACGUCUAUACAUAACCAACUAGCAAAAUACUUAAGACUAAGAUGAAGAUGGAAGCACUCAUUUAAGAAUCUGCUGUGCCUGUAGGAAACUACUAACUUUUAUUACGGGAAAAGAAAUAUACACAAUUUUCGCUAUGACAAUAGGAAACAGCUAGGAAUGAAGAAUAGAAGUUUUUCUUUCACCUUCUUUUGGUAACAAGGAACUUACCACACUAUCAGUAGAAACACCUAAUAUUUCUGUGUUUAGCUUCUCAAAUUCUUCAUAGCGGUCACUGAAAGCAGUAAUCUCUGCAAGCAGGAAGAAAUUUGGGGAGGUAGAAGUAAGAAGAGGAUCCAAUAUCAUAGAAAAUUUCAGUUUAAAUGUUCAAAGUGAAACAAACCUGUAGGGCAAACAAAUGUAAAGUCCAAUGGGUAGAAGAAGAGAAUCACAUAUUUCUUCCCAAUGUAUUCAGAGAGCUUGACCUGAAACAAUGAUCCAUUAUUUAGAAUAAAAUUGGAAAAAAAUUCAUUUUAAAAGGGUAAAAAAAGCUGAAGUGCCUAAAAAUAAUUCAGUACAAAUAUCCACAUAAAAUACCUUAAUGAACUCCUGAUCAAAGACAGCCUCUGCCUCAAAAUCGGGAGCAGUAUUUCCUACCAGUGGAAGAUCACUCUGCAAGAAGAUGCACAAAAUGAGAAAACCAUAUGAGAAAUUAUGCAGAUACAGAAACAGAAUAUAACCUGAAAACAAUAAUGUGCCAUCAAAAAAUUCAGAAUUUGUUUAGAAUAUACAAGUUCAUGACUAUUUUUUGAAUUUCACUUAACAUUUGUAAUUUGAUCCGCACUUUUUAUUAAUCAACAAAAUUAUAGAUUUUAAACAUACUAAUUCAUUUAAAACUUCAUUCUCAAAUGAUAUAAAUAACCAUUUUUAUUUGGUUCCCCACAAAAUUUACCAGUGGAGCCGGCUUUAGCUUACGAUUUUGUCUUUUCAAUGGGGUCAAAGACGCACAUUCACCGAGCUAAUCCUUCACUGGGUACACUCAUCAUAAUAAAAUUUUCCAUCUUUGUUUAAAAAAUCAAAACCGGUUCCCAAUUUCUCAUUUUUAACUCAUUCUAAUCAAUUCCUUCUUAAAAUGACUACAAUGUUCACUAAGCGGAGCUAAAGCCAGUACAUCCUAAUAAAUUUAGGUUUCAAUUGUUCGCAUUAAUAAAAUAAACAAUUAAAUAAUUAUAAAGGGAAUAAAUAUAAUACGCUGGCUUUGACGACGAAACUCUUCCGAGAAUGGCAGGCGCGGGAGAGGGAAACGGAGCGGGCGACACGAGAAAGUAGAGGGGCACGGAGACCGGUGAAGGAAUUGGGGAGAGGAAGAGAUUGGGAGAUGGGGUUGGAUUUGGUAGAGAAAGCCCUAGGGUUUGAUGAGAAGAGAGCCACGGUGGUUGAAGUAGCAGAGUAAGCCAUCUCUCUCACUCACUAGGCUUCGAGACGGAAGAGUGUGAGGCGUACAAAUGAAAUUUCCAGUGGGUAAGAGGAUAAGUGGACAGCGUGGGUUUGGGUUUGGACCGUUUGGUAGGUUUUAUAUUGGUUUACGGGCUCCACACAUUAGGGGCAACCGGAGAUCUCGGUGAACUAAAAUGUGAAGGACGUUUCCUCCUUUUCUUUAGAUUUUUUUUUUAAUUUAGCUUUUGGGCUAAUAGCCCAAUUUUCCAUGUCGUAGCUCUUGAAAAAAAAGUGUAAUUUUCCAACAAAUAAAGGCUCAAUUAAUUAAAUGAUUAAUUAAUCGAACUCGAAAAUUUUAAAUUAAAUUUUAAUUUUGAGUCAAAGAGAUGUCCAUUUUUUAACAUAAUAAACUUAUUUUUACUAAUAAUCGUUGUGUGGCUUUUCGAUAAAACAUUAAAUUUUUAUUUUUAUCAGAAUUUAAUCAAUAGUAAAACUCAAAUAUUAAAAUAAAAAAAAUUAUUUAUACUUUUGAGAAGCCCAAUUUUUUAAGGUACAUCUUUAAGGAGUACUAAUGGUAGCCAAGGUCUAACCCAAGAAACUUGGGCCAUGUCCAUUUCCCUUUCAUCUCCCUUGUUGGCAAAUGGAACAUUACCCAUUUUUGUCCAAAUUCGACGAACCAUUAUCUUUAGAAUUCAGAUGGCAAUCUGGCUAACAAUCUAUCUUCGAAUCAUAAAGUUUUUGGAGCCCUUAUCCUCUCUCUUUCUGUCUCCAAUUUUCCCGCCUUUAUUUUUCGCUUUCCUGACCAGAAAAAACAAAAACGUAGACACCACCACACCAUGCAAGACGCACUCCCUUCCCCCCCCCCCCCCACCCACCACCACCACCUUCCCUCCUCCCAAUAUUCACUUUCCUUCUCCGCGAAGCCUGUGUCAACGCCUCCGAUUUAAAUAAAGUAAUCAACCGACGGCCCAGAUUACUCACAUGCAACUUGGAAACUCAUCUGCGUCCCACCCUAUAUUUCCUCCAAAACAUCGGAAUCUCCGAGGUCAAGAAACACACUUACUUACUGUUUUGCAGCGUGGAACAUAAACUGAUUCCUUGUUGCGAACACUUCCAAAAGAUCGGAUUCUCUUACAGACAAACGAUUUUGAUGUUUCGUAGAUUUCCCCAACUGUUUAAUUACAGUGUUAAGGAAAAUUACGAGCCGACAUUAAAUUAUUUCGUGGUGGAAAUGGGGAGAGAUUUGAGAGAAAUUAAAGAGUUUCCUCAGUAUUUUGUCGUUUAGCUUGGAAAAUAGGAUAAAGCCAAGGCACCGAUGUUGUCUUGAAAAAGGGUUUAGUUUUCCUUUGCCUGUUUUGUUAAAGACAAGUGAAGUUGAGUUUCGCAAUGGAUUGGAGGUUUGUUGUAAUUCCACGUUGCCGGUUAAGGGCUCUCCUUUGUGGUCUACAAAAAAUUGUGAUCUUUAAUACUAUGAUUCAAUAUACAGUAAAAAGAAAUGAAUUGAUUUUUAUUGACUGGUAUUUCGUUUUCAUAUCAUGUAAAAAUUUUGUGAUUGGAAUCUGAAACUAAAAUGGGU
rnacentral:lncRNA from 1 species